UUCUCGAAAAUUAAAGAAUUUGGCGGUAUUUUAGUCUAUUCAGAGGAACCUGUCCUGUAAUUGAUAGUCCACAAGUGGAAUUACUUAUUUUAUUAGUUUGUAUAUCGCCGUAGUUUGAAUAUUUUAUAAGAAAAUAAAUAUUCAAUAAUUUAAAAUUAAGCAGAAAUCAGGUCAAGGUAUAGCUUAUAAAUAAGAAGAGAUGGGUUACAAUAAAUUUAUUUAGAUGGAUUAUAAGAUUAAAUUUUUAUAUGAAAGUGGAUUUGAAAGUAAUUUUAAUUAAAUUAUUAAGAUGAUUUUAGCUCUAAAAUAUGUACAUAUCGCCCGUCACUUUCACUAUAAAGUGGAAUAAGUCGUAACAAAGUAGGCGUACUGGAAAGUGUGCCUAGAAAGACAAAUUAGAGCUUGAUAGAAGCGUUUUAUUUACAUUAAAAAGUUUAUUGUGAAAUUCAAUAUGGUUUGAAUUUUAAAAAUUAUUGAUUUUAAAAUUUUGUGAUUUUUUAAAUAAAAAAAUUAAUUUUUUAUUAUAAGAAAGAAUAAAUUUAAUUUAUUAUAGUAAAUUAGUAUUGUGAGAGAAUUUUUAUAAGUUUUUAAAAGAAAAAUUUAUUUUUUGUACCUGGGGGAUCAGGGUUUAUUAAAUAAAAAAUUUAAAGUUUAAAUUUCUCGAAACUUAAAAGAGCUAAUUUAUUAUAUUUUUAAUUGUUAAAUUAAUUUUAAAAAUAAUAAAUUAGAAAUGAAACGUUAUUCGUUUUUAAAUUUAUCUAGUUUUUAAAGAAAAAAAUUUAAUUUAUUUAUUAUGAAUAUUUUUUAAUUUAUUAAUAAGAUAUUAAUAAUAGAUAAUAAUUUCGGGGAUGAGCUUGGAGUUAAAUGAUUAAAAAUUUAUUAAAAUGGAAAAAAAGUAGGAUUAUAAGUUUUUAUCUUUUAAAGUGUGUUAUUACUUAUUUUUGGAUAAUUAAGAUUUUUAUUAAAUUUUAAAUUUUAUAUUUAAAUAUUAUUUGUGAUUUUUUAAAAUAAGAAAUAAUGAUAAAAUUAGUAAAUUUUUUUUGUAAAUUUAAAUUUAUAGUAAAGGUAAAAUAAAGGAAUUCGGCAAAUAAUUUUUCACCUGUUUAAUAAAAACAUGGCUUUUUGAUUAUAAUUUAAAGUCUCGCCUGCCCAAUGAGGAGUUAAAUGGCUGCGGUAUCUUGACCGUACAAAGGUAGCAUAAUAAUUAGUUUUUUAAUUGAAAGCUGGAAUGAAAGGUUGGAUGAGAAAAUUACUGUCUCUAUUUUAUUUAUAUUGAAUUUUAUUUUUAAGUAAAAAAGCUUAAAUUUAAUUAAAAGACGAGAAGACCCUGUAGAGUUUUAUAAUAGAAAGAAUUUCUUUUUUUAGAAUUAAU
rnacentral:rRNA from 1 species